CACUGUUUUCUUCCUUGCAGGAAGCUCUAAGACAUGUCCAGCCUGCUCUUUGCUGUGAACCUGCAUUGAAAUAACUUGUCCUUCUGCCCAGGACUUCUGCUUGUUUAGCCAGAUGCAGCUGGGUGGGGGACCGGGCUGGGGACUGGACAGGGGCUGGGUGGAGAGAAUGGACAAAGGCAGUGGGUGGAAGGGGGGCAUGGAUGAGCCAUCCUGGGACUGGAGAUUGCCAGCCCUGCCUCAUAGCUCAGCCUGGUGCUACUGGGGUAAAGGGCAGAGGGCAGCUGAACAGCAAAAGAGGCCCUGGAUUGGCCAGGGGGAUGGCUAUAGAGUGGGCAGAGGUCCUGGAGGGCUUGGAAAGCAGGGGCCCUAAUCUCCCUUCCUCAAACUCUAUCCCUAGAAAAUGGGACUCUCAUUGAGAAGGGGUCAUGUGUGGCCCCUGGAGAAUGCUAAGAAGGUGUCUACGCCCUGACCUACAGCCCCCAUGCAAGCCUCUGGGUCAGCACAGCCUCUUGUGAAAA
rnacentral:lncRNA from 1 species